rnacentral:lncRNA from 1 species
GGCGGUGCUUGUACUGGGUACUGCGUCGUUCGUUCUUGGCGUCAAUCUUUUAAAACCGCUCGCGCACGCUGGGACCGUUGGUUUAGUUAAAACACACGGCACUGGUCCACUUAUCCGAGCACUGCAGCCGACACUUUCUAUUUGUUUAACUGUUCUAAGGGGGAAAAAAAAGCGACAUUAAAUUUUUCGAAUACGGAUUGCAGAGCUUGAGCCCCAGCUGAGUAAGGACUCCGGGGUCAAUCGGUAUGAUAUAUUUUAGUAAAGUUUGACAUCACUCUGAUUUACUUUUCUUUUUUAGAUUAUAGAUAAACAUAAAUAGAAGGAUCCUGUUUUCCCGCUCUCAUCCCAGUGGACCAGCUUGAGUCCUCCCCUGGGUCCCAGAGCCUCACCUGGGCGCAGGCAGUUGUGCGGGUAACCCCUGGAGAUGGGCUGCCUGGAGUCGCGUCCUGUCCCUGAAAGCUCAAGUGCUGGGUGAGCUCAAGCUGGCCCUGCAACCUCUCCAUGCAACUUCCUCUUUAAAACAAACAGUGUUAACAACAGCUUUUGUAAGAACCUAUGAGUUUGUAUGCAAGCGUUUAGAACGAGGACGCCUGACCUUAAUAAGCCCUUAAGAAAUGAUGUGGCAGUCCCCAUUUCUUUUUCCCUCCAGUGCACACCUCCAGGCAACAAUUCCCAGCCUUGUAAGCAGAUAACUGGGGCUGCAGGACUCGUUCCAACAGGUGAUUGUGCACAGAAGUAAUGGACACACAUCUUGGCCUGCCUUCCUGUUUCUUGGUCUGCACAGCUGGAAUUGAUAGUGGAACCAGAAGAAGGUUUCAGAACCUUUUUCAGCACCACUUGGAAGAGAGCUGCUCACCCAGGAAAACCCACUUGGGAGUGCUGUAUGAGAGAGAAAUAAAAACAUACACUUCCACCGUGACACUCCACUGAAAUGCUGCGGUUUUGUCAUAGCCAUUAGCUAACCUAAUACAUAGACAUUUCUAUUAUUACUGUGCUAUUUUUUUUUUAUUCCUCCACAAUUGGACUCUUUGAGAGUGUGUUGUUUUGUGGCAGCAUUGAAAUAUCUGCAAACCACUCCUCAACCAGAUUAUAAGCCCCUCUUUGAUAUCUAUUUCUGCUAUGCCCCCCACCCCCCAGCUCCACAUCCACAGUACCUAGUGCCUCACUGAGAAAAUUGCCUGGGAAUGAAGAGAGAGCUGCCUGUCCAGGAGUGCGGUGCAAAGGUUGUUCUUUGCUUCAUUGCUUGCAUACAAACCCCACCCACUGUUCUUCUUUCCUCUCCUUUCUGUGGAUUUGCUUGUUCAUUCAUUUACUCUUUGGUAAGAGUAAAGACUUGUGCAGCCCUCCCUCUGUCCUAGGAGAUGGUGGUGAACCGGCAGACACCCCCUCUCUGCAGGGGACCUCGUUAGUCCAAUUGGCGGGUAAGCUGCAUUUCUUUUGUAAGCCAUUAGCUAACCUAAUGGUUGUUGGUCUUGUGAGCUGCUGCCUGUCCCAUAAACCAUGGCAUCCCUGCUCCCCAUGUUGAGCCAGGGAGGGAGGAAAGAAGACUGUUACGAUGGCAGUGUGCAGGAGGGUACCCACAGGGAAGGGUUCUUAAAGGAGCAUGACUUCUGAGUUGAAUGGGAUUCACCCAUGCAAAGGCGGUUGUGAGGAAAUGGGAAGGAUUUACUCCAGGCAGAGGUGAGAGAGAGCCGUGAGUCUGGGAGGGGAAGAGGAGAGAGAUGAGGCUGUAGAGUCGGGGCCAGAUCACAUUCUAAUUAAUGAAGGCCUGACAAGGCUGGCAGCUGCUAUUUCCGUGGUUAAUUCCUCCUUUGAAAACAGUGGAAUCAACCACAAGGAGGAUUCAGCUCAUCCUCUC